rnacentral:rRNA from 1 species
GCAUAUCAAUAAGCGGAGGAAAAGAAACCAACCGGGAUUGCCUUAGUAACGGCGAGUGAAGCGGCAAAAGCUCAAAUUUGAAAUCUGGCGUCUUCGACGUCCGAGUUGUAAUUUGAAGAAGGCGACUUUGUAGCUGGUCCUUGUCUAUGUUCCUUGGAACAGGACGUCAUAGAGGGUGAGAAUCCCGUGUGGCGAGGAUCCCAGUUAUUUGUAAAGUGCUUUCGACGAGUCGAGUUGUUUGGGAAUGCAGCUCUAAGUGGGUGGUAAAUUCCAUCUAAAGCUAAAUAUUGGCGAGAGACCGAUAGCGAACAAGUACAGUGAUGGAAAGAUGGAAAGAACUUUGAAAAGAGAGUGAAAAAGUACGUGAAAUUGUUGAAAGGGAAGGGCAUUUGAUCAGACAUGGCGUUUGCUUCGGCUUUCGCUGGGCCAGCAUCAGUUUUAGCGGUUGGAUAAAUCCUCGGGAAUGUGGCUCUGCUUCGGUAGAGUGUUAUAGCCCGUGGGAAUACAGCCAGCUGGGACUGAGGAUUGCGACUUUUGUCAAGGAUGCUGGCGUAAUGGUUAAAUGCCGCCCGUCUUGAAACACGGACC